CACUAGCCCUGAUGGAAGCGGCAUCCUUUUACUUUUUUCUUUAAAAAGUAAAAGAUAUAGCGGACAGCAGGUAUCAGC
rnacentral:sRNA from 1 species